CAAAAGUAUAUCUCCGCAAGCGAUGAUGUGAAGGUGCAACAAUCUAACUUACAUCCAACCAUCAUAUAUUAUGGCUAUAUUAUAACAGUUUUCAAAUCCAAGAUAUUACGUACAAUAUCCAACGCGCCUUGGUUCAUCAAAAACGAAGCACUCCAUACCGACUUCAAACUCCUAUCAAUCAAAGACUACAUACACAAUCUAACGAUAAUUUUUUUUGGACAACUAAACAACACCAGUAGCGAGAAACAUUUCAAACUCAGCGAUAGUCCUACCCUCCGGCGUCUCGAGCGUGGACGUCCUCAUGAUGCCCUAUCUCAACUCCAAUAAUAAUAAUAAUA